rnacentral:rRNA from 1 species
UACAGGGGUCUCAAGCGUUGUUCGGAUUCAUUGGGCGUAAAGGGUGCGUAGGUGGCGUGGUAAGUCGGGUGUGAAAUUUCGGAGCUUAACUCCGAAACUGCAUUCGAUACUGCCGUGCUUGAGGACUGGAGAGGAGACUGGAAUUUACGGUGUAGCAGUGAAAUGCGUAGAGAUCGUAAGGAAGACCAGUGGCGAAGGCGGGUCUCUGGACAGUUCCUGACACUGAGGCACGAAGGCCAGGGGAGCAAACAGG